GAUGAACGCUAGCGGCAGGCUUAACACAUGCAAGUCGAGGGGUAUAGUUCUUCGGAACUAGAGACCGGCGCACGGGUGCGUAACGCGUAUGCAAUCUACCUUUUGCAGAGGGAUAGCCCAGAGAAAUUUGGAUUAAUACCUCAUAGUAUGUGAGAAUGGCAUCAUUUUCACAUUAAAGUCACAACGGCAAAAGAUGAGCAUGCGUCCCAUUAGCUUGUUGGUAAGGUAACGGCUUACCAAGGCAACGAUGGGUAGGGGUCCUGAGAGGGAGGUCCCCCACACUGGUACUGAGACACGGACCAGACUCCUACGGGAGGCAGCAGUGAGGAAUAUUGGACAAUGGGCGCAAGCCUGAUCCAGCCAUGCCGCGUGCAGGAUGACGGUCCUAUGGUUUGUAAACUGCGUUUGUACAGGAAGAAACACUGGUUCGUGAACCAGCUUGACGGUACUGUAAGAAUAAGGAUCGGCUAACUCCGUGCCAGCAGCCGCGGUAAAAC
rnacentral:rRNA from 1 species